UACGAAGGGGGCUAGCGUUGCUCGGAAUCACUGGGCGUAAAGCGCACGUAGGCGGACUUUUAAGUCAGGGGUGAAAUCCUGGAGCUCAACUCCAGAACUGCCUUUGAUACUGGAAGUCUUGAGUCCGGAAGAGGUAAGUGGAACUGCGAGUGUAGAGGUGAAAUUCGUAGAUAUUCGCAAGAACACCAGUGGCGAAGGCGGCUCACUGGCCCGAUACUGACGCUGAGGUGCGAAAGCGUGGGGAGCAAACAGG
rnacentral:rRNA from 1 species